rnacentral:tRNA from 1 species
GGAGGGAUUCUAGCUCAGAGGCAGAGUGUCUGCUUGGCAUACCUAGGGUCCCAAGUUCAAUCCCUAGUCUCUCCA